UGGGGGAUUUUGCACAAUGGGCGCAAGCCUGAUGCAGCGACGCCGCGUGAGUGAUGAAGGACUUCGUUUCGUAAAACUCUGUUCUAUGGGAAGAAAAGGACUGUACCAUAGGAGAAAGCUCCGGCUAAAUACGUGCCAGCAGCCGCGGUAAUACGUAUGGAGCGAGCGUUGUCCGGAAUUAUUGGGCGUAAAGGGUGCGCAGGCGGCUUUACAAGUUGGAUGUGAAAUAUUGUGGCUCAACCACAAACGUGCAUCCAAAACUGCAAAGCUUGAGUUAAGGAGAGGUAAGUGGAAUUCCUGGUGUAGCGGUGGAAUGCGUAGAUAUCAGGAGGAAUACCGGUGGCGAAGGCGACUUACUGGACUUAAACUGACGCUCAGGCACGAAAGCGUGGGGAGCAAACAGG
rnacentral:rRNA from 1 species